rnacentral:lncRNA from 1 species
GUGGUUUAUUUCUGGCGGUUUCCAAAAUCUCUGGAAAUCCGGCGGUUUGAGGGAAACCGCCGUAAAUGAAAAUACUUUUUCAUUUUCCCACUUUACAUAUCGCGGUAGUAUUUUGUAUCUCAAAACAUUUGUUUGCCUUCUAAAGAAAUUUUUAACGCUUCAUCUUUUUCUCUUCCAUGAAAUGACCCUCUAACCAAUAGAGAAGGUCGACCAUCGCAGAUCUCCUCGAAUAAGAAUCGCUGUCGGUGAGCAUGGUGUCCGGCGACAUCAUCGGUGCGGCCAACUCCACUCCUCUCUCCUUCUUCGCUCGUGAAACAGAUAAUAAGGCCUUUCUUCACCUCCAUCCAUGGUAGUUCUUGUCUUCAUCAUAUCCAGCACCAUUGCACCUCUUCACUAUCGGCCACCGUAUCUCCUUCCUCCACGACUGCGCCUUCGCCAAACUGUUGAAGUCGCCGCCGCCCAGAUCUCCGCCCAGAUCUCUC